rnacentral:rRNA from 1 species
GAUGAACGCUGGCGGCGUGCUUAACACAUGCAAGUCGAACGGAAAGGCCCAAGCUUGCUUGGGUACUCGAGUGGCGAACGGGUGAGUAACACGUGGGUGAUCUGCCCUGCACUUCGGGAUAAGUCUGGGAAACUGGGUCUAAUACCGGAUAGGACCUCUUCCUGGAUGUUGUGGUGGAGAGAUUUUUGGGUGUGGGAUGGGGUCGCGGCCUAUCACCUUGUUGGUGGGGGAAUGGCCUACCAAGGCGUCGGCGGGUAGCCGGCCUGGGAGGGUGUACGGCCACAAUUGGGCUGAGGAACGGCCCAGACUCCUACGGGGGGCAGCAGGGGGGAAAAAUGCACAAUGGGCGCGAGCCUGAUGCAGCGACGCCGCGGUGGGGAUGACGGCCUUCGGGUUGUAAAACCCUUUCGGUAGGGACGAAGCGGUGUGUGACGGUACCUGGAGAAGAAGCACCGGCUAACUACGUG